GUGCCAGCAGCCGCGGUAAUACGUAGGGGGCAAGCGUUAUCCGGAUUUACUGGGUGUAAAGGGAGCGCAGACGGCAAUGCAAGUCUGAAGUGAAAGGCGUGGGCUCAACCCAUGAACUGCUUUGGAAACUGUAUAGCUUGAGUGUCGGAGGGGUAAGCGGAAUUCCUAGUGUAGCGGUGAAAUGCGUAGAUAUUAGGAGGAACACCGGAGGCGAAGGCGGCUUACUGGACGACAACUGACGUUGAGGCUCGAAGGCGUGGGGAGCAAACAGGAUUAGAUACCCUGGUGGUCC
rnacentral:rRNA from 1 species